UACAGAGGGUGCGAGCGUUAAUCGGAAUUACUGGGCGUAAAGCGUGCGCAGACGGUCACGUAAGUCGGGUGUGAAAGCCCCGGGCUCAACCUGGGAAUUGCAUUCGAGACUGCGUGGCUAGGGUGCGGAAGAGGGAAGCGGAAUUUCCGGUGUAGCGGUGAAAUGCGUAGAUAUCGGAAGGAACACCAGUGGCGAAAGCGGCUUCCUGGUCCAGCACCGACGUCAGGCACGAAAGCUAGGGGAGCAAACAGG
rnacentral:rRNA from 1 species